CCCAACUAUCCCUAUUAAUCAUUACGUCGACCCUAGAAACCAACAAAAUAGGAUCAAACGUCCUAUUUCAUUAUUCCAUGCUAAUGUAUUCAAGCGUUAGCCUGCUUUAAACACUCUAAUUUUUUCAAAGUAACAGUCCUGAUUCCCCGCGACACCAAGUUAAUGACAUCGCGGCUCCUCAGAAAGGAGGAACCAACAAAACCAGUACGUACCAUAGGCACGACCAGUAAAUUGAUCCCGAAAUUCAACUACGAGCUUUUUAACUGCAGCAACUUUAAUAUACGCUAUUGGAGCUGGAAUUACCGCGGCUGCUGGCACCAGACUUGCCCUCCAA
rnacentral:misc_RNA from 1 species